rnacentral:rRNA from 1 species
UACGGAGGGUGCAAGCGUUAUCCGGAUUCACUGGGUUUAAAGGGUGCGUAGGCGGGCAGGUAAGUCCGUGGUGAAAUCUCUGAGCUUAACUCAGAAACUGCCAUGGAUACUAUUUGUCUUGAAUAUAGUGGAGGUGAGCGGAAUAUGUCAUGUAGCGGUGAAAUGCUUAGAUAUGACAUAGAACACCCAUUGCGAAGGCAGCUCGCUACACUAUUAUUGACGCUGAGGCACGAAAGCGUGGGGAUCAAACAGG